ACAUGCAGGAGGGAAGUGGGGAACGUGUAUUUGCAUGAUUGUCAGCACAGGUAGAGAAAAAUACCCAGUUUGGAUUGACCUUUUGAAUGCACGUGAACUCACUCAGAGUUGGUUUUGUUUUGUUAGCUGGACAAAAUUUCAAAAACUUUUUCAUAGGAAACCCUUCGUAUGCACCAAGAUUCAAGCACCUCCAUCUACAUAAAAUUUUUAAAUUGACCCAUGAAAAGAGUUUGGCAUAUUAGAUCAGAGUCAGUGUUGGAUCACAAGAUUCACUGCUUUUUUCCUGCCCUUAUUCUAAUGGCCUAAAAACGUCAUAGUCCAUGACUAUCCUGCCCUUAUUUUAAUGACCUAAAAAUGUCAAUAUCCAUGACUAUCACCAGUUUAGUUAGCUAGGGUUGUUGGAGUUGUGAUCUCUUUCAUUGUCAUCUCUAAACCUGAGUGAGUGAAAUCAAAAGUAGGUGAAUAGUUCGUGAACAAUUGUAAUUUAUUUUGAUUUAUACAACUACUAACUGCUUUGUAUAUACAGACACCCGGAUCUUAUGUAUCUCCAUUGCUUGGCUUUAUCAGUACAUGAAUUUUUUGUUUUUGGAAAACCAAGCAAAUUGUAUUACUGUGUGGUAGUUUGAAUCCCAUGUUAACAGAAAAAGUGCUUUUUAUUGGAGGAGGGCUGCAUUUUUCCAUGUACCAGAAUCUGAGGAAGAUUUUGGAGAAAUUAUGAUCAAUUGAGAUUUGAUUUUCUUUAGUCCAGUGUUCAUUGCCGAGGAAUUCAAGCUUCCAGAAGCUUGGAUUCUUUGACUAGGUUUAUUUUUCUUCUCUCAACUAAGGCAAUUCACAGUUCACACACAGCUUUUGGGUUCAAGAGAAUCAGAUUUCUUGUCUCGGGAAGCCAUUUUUGUUUGCAGGGUUUGAAAAAACUUCAUUGCAUUUCACAGAAAAAAAGAAAAUUGCAUGUUCCAAGGAGGCCUCAUGUUGGUCAAAGCAAGCUGUUAUCCUGUAAAGCAUUCAAUUACAACCGGAGGGCUGGUGAAUUUAAGGGUUAGGGUUGAAGGUAUUUUCAGUGUCCACAAAGGAGGGUGCAGGAGCUGUAUAUGACACAGCUAGCAAGCCUGAAGAUUAGCCUGGUUUUUCAUUGAGCCAUAUGGUGCAGAAAUUAGAUUUGUUUGUUGAGGUGAUGGCUUCUGCAAAUUGUUCUUCCUCAUCGUUAGGAAAGAGAAAGAAAAGAAACGAUUUUGUCAGUGGUGAUAGUACAAAACUAGAAGUGGUAACAACAGAUUCAGUAGGGAAUGCAACAGAGAUCUCCAGUGGUUUGGCGCCCAUUAGAACCAAUUCAUCUUCAUCUUGCAGAUCUGAGACAGAAAAGAAGUUUGAAGAAGAAGAAUGUUGUGUGACACCCAAGUCUGAGGAACACAAGAUAUCCUCCAUGACAAUGUGCCCUCCUGCACCUCGCAAACCCAAAUCAGCUCCUCUAAAGAGAAAUCCUGCAAUUAUAUCACGUCGCAGAGCAAUUCAUAUUCCUUCAGAUUCACCUGAUUUGGACUUACUUUUCGGUUCAGAUCUGACCAAAGAUCACCAGCAUCAGAAGAAGAAGCAUAAAAAGAAAGAAAACAAUUCAAAUAUCAGAGAAGAAAGCCAAAAUUAGAUAGAUCUUAGGAUAGUAUCUGCCCAUGUAACCAAAAAAGAUUAGAACUGAUGGUCUUGGUGACAUUUUUUGUUUGUUUGGGUGGGGGGGUAAUGUGCAUUACCAUGGAGAGUACUGUAACUAAGCUUCGUUGUACAAUUGCUGGUUGUACGUUCUACUGUAUAUCCUAGAUUUGUGUUCCAAAAGGGGGGUCUGCAUGUCUACUGCUCAAUCUAAUAUAAGAUUCGGUGCCUGUCACAUUGGGAUCAAAUCUUUUUUGUUAUCAGUGUUUUUGCUUUUCCAAAGAUUUGGAUUCUCAUUGAAAUUGUGAUAUGAGGCCAUUUUGUCAUGUCUAGUUCUUGUACACAGGUUUGCAAGAAUGGCAUAAAUGGGAAUUCAGGUUUGUCAAAUCUUAAAAUGCAAAGUCUAGAAAUGUAUGAUGCAUUGCUCAUGCUUUUGUAUACUAUGUUUGACAAUCUUCUCUGUAUAUUUAAAUCUUCUUUCUGAAAGUCAGAUUGGAAAAAAAAUAAAAUUGUAUCAAAUUCAACAGCCCUGCCUGCAAAGUCGGUGAUGCUGUGUUCUAAGAUUGAAA